ACUCACUGUGGGGCUGUUUUGUGCAAGGCAAAAAACGUCUCCCAAAAAAGUGAAGUUCCCACUGUUCCCACCCCUUCCUCUGUGGUGUGUCUCCACCAACACUCACAGGGAAGCUGGAACCCACUCAAUGAACCCAGGGAGUUCUUCGAGCUUGCUGCACACCGGCAGCUGUGUAGUCAGCCUCCUCGGCCACGCCUCCAUUCUGUGGGGCCCAGGACCUGAGCAGUAAUACUCCUCUCUGUGCUUCCUGACUGUGGAUGCCAUGUGACCACCGCCUCAAGCUCCUGCCGCCAUGUUUUCCCUGUCAUGAUGCCUACCUAUGUCCUCAAACGGUCCUCAGAGCAGUCUGCAGAUUCUUUCCCUUCACCCAGUGAGCACCAUAGCCAAUCAGACGGUUCAGAGCAGGAGAGACACACGGCUUCCCACUAGCAAAUUGCCAGUCUUUAUUUUAUUUUGGAAAGUACAACUACU